CCUGGCUCAGAACGAACGUUAGCGGCGCGCUUAACACAUGCAAGUCGUGCGAGAAAGGGGCAACCCCGGUAAAGCGGCGCACGGGUGAGUAACACGUAGGUAAUCUACCUCCAGGUGGUGGAUAACCUUCCGAAAGGAGGGCUAAUACAGCAUGAGACCACGAUUUCGAAAGAGAUUGAGGUCAAAGUCGGCCUCUUCAUGAAAGCUGACGCCAGGAGAUGAGCCUGCGGCCCAUCACGGUAGUUGGUAGGGUAAUGGCCUACCAAGCCAAAGACGGGUAGCUGGUCUGAGAGGAUGAUCAGCCACACUGGAACUGAGACACGGUCCAGACUCCUACGGGAGGCAGCAGUGGGGAAUCUUGCGCAAUGGGCGAAAGCCUGACGCAGCGACGCCGCGUGAGUGAUGAAGGCCUCGGUGUAAG
rnacentral:rRNA from 1 species